AAAAAAAACAAAACAAAAAAAAACCUUUGAAAGAGAAUUGAGAGCAGGCCCUCGGAGCUCCGUCGAGCCUCCUUCCACGGGCUCCCACGCGCCCACGCGCCGCCGUCGACUUCGCCACGUACGGCGGUCGAAAGCUGAAGAGCUCCGAUUUUCAGCGCACAUUCGACGGUAAAUUUUUAUUUUAAUGAUAUUUGUAUUUAUUUGUAACUAAAAGGAAAGAAAAAAAAGAGGCAAAUUACCUUUGUUUCUUCAAUAAGAUGCUGGUAUUUUAUUGUAUAUGUGUAUAUAUCAACCGUAGUUUUACAUUGGUUCGAUUCGGGCUUUCAUAGCCACUGAAAAUAAUAUUUACCAUGUUUGAUUUUAUUUCUUACUAUAUUUAUAUUGGCUCUGCUGUUCUUCUUUCUUUUUUUGCAGGUACUAGCAAGAAAUCUGACGACGAUGGGGUGUUGAUGGUGAUUCACUGGCGCGCUGAUUGAGGCGAUGAUGGCACAAAUCUAUCGGUGGUGGGAUUGGCGCACCGAUUGCGGCGCGAGUUUGGGACCUUUGUCUGGUGCUUGCGGCGCCUAGGGUUUCAGAAACCCUAAGCCUCCUGUCUUCUGUUAACCAUUUGGGCCAUUCAGGCCUUGUGUAUUUUGGGUAUUUGAGUAUUUGGGCUACGGUAUAAGCUUGGGUGUAAUUAGGGCAUUGGGCUUUAAAUAUCUAUGGGCCUUGUAAAAUGGACUGUUAAAAAACUUUAUUUUUCUUUUAUUCGGUUUAUUCUCCUUUUAAGUUUUUAAUAGCCCGAGUAAAUUGGACCUAUUACAACCCUAAAAUGAAAACAAAAGAGAAGUAAAAGGGUUAUUGAUGUUGCAAUGGGGCGAAGGAUGAAAGGGUUGCUGCGGAAUGUUGUUCUACGCCCAAACCUUUGGAAUACUUGCUCCAAAAUGCUAUGGUGGAACCACAUUUCCUUAUGUAACUCUUUAAAGUUUAUUUUUGAAUUUUAAAAUCUAAAAUUUUUAUAAUUUUCAUAUAUUUUGGAAAUAAAAUUUCUUUUUAAAAAAAGAGAGAAUAUUUUGUAAGUCCUA
rnacentral:lncRNA from 1 species